AUACAUGCAGUAGAACGCUGAAGAGAGGAGCUUGCUCUUCUUGGAUGAGUUGCGAACGGGUGAGUAACGCGUAGGUAACCUGCCUUGUAGCGGGGGAUAACUAUUGGAAACGAUAGCUAAUACCGCAUAACAAUGGAUGACACAUGUCAUUUAUUUGAAAGGGGCAAUUGCUCCACUACAAGAUGGACCUGCGUUGUAUUAGCUAGUAGGUGAGGUAAUGGCUCACCUAGGCGACGAUACAUAGCCGACCUGAGAGGGUGAUCGGCCACACUGGGACUGAGACACGGCCCAGACUCCUACGGGAGGCAGCAGUAGGGAAUCUUCGGCAAUGGGGGCAACCCUGACCGAGCAACGCCGCGUGAGUGAAGAAGGUUUUCGGAUCGUAAAGCUCUGUUGUAAGUCAAGAACGGGUGUGAGAGUGGAAAGUUCACACUGUGACGGUAGCUUACCAGAAAGGGACGGCUAACUACGUGCCAGCAGCCGCGGUAAUACGUAGGUCCCGAGCGUUGUCCGGAUUUAUUGGGCGUAAAGCGAGCGCAGGCGGUUUGAUAAGUCUGAAGUUAAAGGCUGUGGCUCAACCAUAGUUCGCUUUGGAAACUGUCAAACUUGAGUGCAGAAGGGGAGAGUGGAAUUCCAUGUGUAGCGGUGAAAUGCGUAGAUAUAUGGAGGAACACCGGUGGCGAAAGCGGCUCUCUGGUCUGUAACUGACGCUGAGGCUCGAAAGCGUGGGGAGCGAACAGGAUUAGAUACCCUGGUAGUCCACGCCGUAAACGAUGAGUGCUAGGUGUUGGAUCCUUUCCGGGAUUCAGUGCCGCAGCUAACGCAUUAAGCACUCCGCCUGGGGAGUACGACCGCAAGGUUGAAACUCAAAGGAAUUGACGGGGGCCCGCACAAGCGGUGGAGCAUGUGGUUUAAUUCGAAGCAACGCGAAGAACCUUACCAGGUCUUGACAUCCCGAUGCUAUUUCUAGAGAUAGAAAGUUACUUCGGUACAUCGGUGACAGGUGGUGCAUGGUUGUCGUCAGCUCGUGUCGUGAGAUGUUGGGUUAAGUCCCGCAACGAGCGCAACCCCUAUUGUUAGUUGCCAUCAUUCAGUUGGGCACUCUAGCGAGACUGCCGGUAAUAAACCGGAGGAAGGUGGGGAUGACGUCAAAUCAUCAUGCCCCUUAUGACCUGGGCUACACACGUGCUACAAUGGUUGGUACAACGAGUUGCGAGUCGGUGACGGCGAGCUAAUCUCUUAAAGCCAAUCUCAGUUCGGAUUGUAGGCUGCAACUCGCCUACAUGAAGUCGGAAUCGCUAGUAAUCGCGGAUCAGCACGCCGCGGUGAAUACGUUCCCGGGCCUUGUACACACCGCCCGUCACACCACGAGAGUUUGUAACACCCGAAGUCGGUGAGGUAACCUUUGGAGCCAGCCGCCUAAGGUG
rnacentral:rRNA from 1 species